GACGAACGCUGGCGGCGUGCUUAACACAUGCAAGUCGAACGGAAAGGCCCUUCUUUUUUGACGUGCUCGAGUGGCGAACGUGUGAGUAAGAUGUGCUUCCCUCCCCCCUGACUUUGGCCUAACUUCCGGGGACUGGUGCUAAUACUGGCUUGCAGCUCCUUCUGCAUGGUUGGGGUUGUAUAGUUUCGGCGGAUGGGCAUGCAGUCUCGGCUCUUCAGCUUGUUGUUGUGGUGUUGGCUGACCAAGGCUUGGACGGGUAGCCGGCCUGAGAGGGUGACCGGCCACAUUGGGACAGAGAUACGGGCCAGACUGCUACGGGGAGCAGCAGGGGAGAAGAUUGCGCAAGGGGCGGAAGCGUGAUGCAGGAGAUCAGCGUGCGGGAGGACGGACUUCGGGUUGUGAACCGCUUUCGCCGGAGACGAAGCAUGAGUGACGGUAAGGGGUAAAGAAGCACCGGCUAACUACGUG
rnacentral:rRNA from 1 species